rnacentral:lncRNA from 1 species
AUCCAUUUAUUUGCCAAAGAUUUACGCCAAGUCUACUGUGGGCUAUAAUUGCCCUUUUCUCUUUACCCAGCCUUAUAGGCAAAAAAUAAGAGGUAAUACAACAGAAUCAGUUUUAGUUUCAUGUUGCUUAUAUCUGGCACAUCCAUUUCCAUUUGAUUUUUUUUUUUUCUUAAACAUUUAUUAAGUACUAUUUUGGGGUUAGGCAGUUUCUCAUUGUGAGAGCUUUUUCCAAGGACAAGGCAAUGGUGAUUUGCUCAAGGUCACACACUGGUAACAACAAAUUUUGGUGCUUGACCAUUAAAAUCCAUCCUCUUCUCCCUGCAUCAUGCUCCCCUGUGAAUGGGACUACUUUAGCGUCAUUUCUUAGGUAGUUUCUGUUUUAUACGGGCCUGGAGCCCCUGUGGGUUUCUAAAGCAGAAAGUGGUAGAGCUGCUAAAAGUUUGUGUAAGCAGCCUCGGGAAACAGAUCUUUAGUAAGCUCAGAAACCAGUUAGGGUGGGGUGAUUUCCCAGUCACGUGGUAGUAGUGUGGUGUCCUGGCAAGAGCAGGAGCUGUGGGCUUAGGCUGACUGAAUCCCAUCUCUACUAUUUUCUAGCUCUUUGACCUCAGGCCCUUCACUAAGCCAGCCACCACCACACCUGAGCCUUGGUUUCCUCGCCUGAAGAAACAGGGAAUGGUGUUACCUACCUGGCAGGGUUGUGUGAGGAUUAAAAGGGUAAUGAAAUGUCAAGUUCCAGGUAUGUAAUAGGCACACCGUUAAUGUCACUGUUAUAUAGCUUGGGUAAUCACUUGGUGAGGAAGCUGUAGGAGGAAUUUUUUAUGGUUUCUUUAAAUCCUGCAAUUCUCUGACCUCAGUGCCUCCUAAGAAGCUCUCUGUGAGAUUUAUAUCUGACUUUACCUAUUGAGGCCCAUCCUGGCUUGCUUAUGCAACCUUGUUUGAAAGAGGUGGCUGAAUUCCCUUGUGGACAAGGUGUUUCAUUCAGUGUCUCUCUGUUUUUUGGUGUUUACUGAGAUUCUCAGGUUUCUAAGUAAUUUCAGCCUGAGACAAGUGAGUAGGAUUGAUGUCUGGCUGCUUUAACACAGGUGUUAUAAACAAGAUUAAGAGGUUGUUGAAAAGAUAUCAGUGGAGCUCUGGGGCAAGCUUUCUGGAGUUAUUCUAAAUUGACAGCUAAUGGGUAGUUUGUCUUGAUGGCUCUCUCUGAGUUGGUUGUAACUGACUAGAGAUGCACCCACAGAGGAAAUCUGCUUAUGAAAAUUCACUUUGCCUUCAUUUAUAAGAAAGUAAAGCUAUUAUAACAUGUAACAGUGUCUUUGCAUGUGCAAAAAACUAUUGUCUUUACACUCUUUUAAGGUACUUUUUUUUUUUUAAAGGCAGUCAAUUAGGUUUUUUUGAUGCCAUAAGCCUGCCAAGCCUCAAAGGAAACUUUAAAAAGGAGAGAGAUAGUUCAAAACAAUGAUUUUAUUCUAUUUAUCUAAUUUUUUCUGUAUAAGACAAUUAUUUUAAUUAUCUUAACCCUUUGUAGAUUUUCUUAUUGCCCAGCAAGUUAUGCAUUUUGCAUUAUUUGGUCUACUACAUGCUAUUGCUAGGAAUCUGAUCAAUUUUUUUUUUUCUUUUUUGUCUUUUGAGGGCCACGCCUGUGGCGUAUGGGGUUUCCCAGGUUAGGGGUCAGAUCGGAGCUGUAGCCUCCGGCUAUGCCACAGUCGCAGCAGUGCCAGAUCCAAGCCGUGUCUGUAACCUACACCACAGCUCAUAGCAACACCAGAUCCUUAACCCACUGAGUGAGGCCAGGGAUCAAACUCGCGUCCUCAUGGAUACUAGUCAGGUUCAUUAACCACUGAGCCAUUGACAGGAGCUCCUAUAGUCAAUUUUAUAACCCUCCUGAGAGAGUUGUAGUUGUGGGGAGAGAGCUUGUAGAAUUUGUAGGUGGGCAAGAGGCAUUCACCUAGGCUACCAGAGAAUUCCUUUUGAUCAUAUUCCACUUGGCCAGAUGUUCGGGGUUCUCUGUUUUCUGGGUGGAGGAAAUAUUUCUGACUCUAAGAGUAACUCAUUUACCAUCCUUGUCCUUAUUGGGAAGAGAAGUAUUUUGCUAACUGUAGGGGUUUGUAAAGCUUCUAGAAAUAGUCAGACCUCUGAGUUGAGGAAAAUAAAGUGCAUCUUAGGCAAAAGCAGACAUAAAGCCAUCUCUUUUCAUUGUUUUGAUGGACUCAUCAAACAGGCAUGUAUUGAGGCCCUAACACCAUAUACUUCAUUCAAGCUCAGAAAGAUAGGUCAGUUGGCACUCUGGUGCUGGAAAGUAUGUUAUAAAAAUCAUGCUGCAUUUUCAGACUUUAAAGUGUUACCCCUACUGUUGAAAAAAUAUUCUUUUUAACAAGAUACUCAGGGUAAAGUUUUAUGUGAGUUCUGUCCUCCUUGAUGUGGCAGCUAUUGUGUAGCAGACUUGUGCGGGUAAGUUUUAAGCUUUAAAAGAAAUAAUGUAGCAGCUGAUGUCCUAGGCUCCAGAGAUCAAAACCAUGCUGGAACCUUUAAAGAAUUAAGGAGCGGCUGUGGAAGACAUAGAUUUUGUAAAUAAAUGCAAUGACUCACUCUCACUUUCCAUCUGGUUCUCACUCAUUCAGUCCUAAACCAUUCAGUAUGCUCUGAAUAGUCCCCCCUUGCUUUUUUUUUUUUAAAUCUUCACUCUCUUCUUUCCCUUCUAUCCUCCUGCUAGUGUUUUUCCCUCAACCACUCCUAUUUGAAAGGGGAAUGCAGUUUUGAGUCUUGGCUAUGACCUCAGAGGCAACUUAUAGAAAAAAAUAAUUAAAGAUUUCCUUGCCCCCACUUUAGUCUUAAUAAAAUUGCCCAUUGCUAGAGGCAAUAUUCCACUGGCUGGGACAUCCUCUGUCAGCGUAAUUACAUGUACCAGGUAUGCCAUGUCCAUGUAACUGGCAGAGCUGCUAGUGGCUGUAUGCAUAGUCCACCUUUACCUAGUUUCUGUGACAUACACUUAUAAAAUAUCUUACCUUUGUAUUACUCUAAAUAGUAAAGUGAAUUUAUUGUGUCUGAGCCUUGAUCUAAAAAUAGAAAUAAUUUAAAAUAGCUUUGCCAUAUUAAUUUGUUGUUUAAUAUUUAAAGAUUCAAAGUGGACUAGUAUUCAUGGUAGGUACCCCUGGGUUCAGUGUGGGUUCCCCAGAUGAUCCGAGUGAGGGAGAUCUUACUGAAAUCUCCAUAUAGACAGAUGGCAGUAGGCUCUUCUGGCUCAUGAACUUCUAAAUGGGCACAGAAUAACUGUAGGAAAGAGCUUUCCUGGCUAACGGCAUGGGCAGAAAAAUGGCAGGAGGGAUUUUGAAAGAUGAUGGCCAGGGGAAAUAAUACAAAUCAUGCCUUUGAGAUGAUAGUUUCUGAAGUUGUGACUAAGGAAAGCAGAUUGGGAGGUUGUAUAUGCUGACUGCUCCUGCAAAAGCGAGAGUUAGAUUCUAGACCCAGCUGUAUGGCCUCAGGCUCAAGUCUUGUUACUUCCUUGAGUCUUAGUUUAUUCAUCUGUAAUUAUGAGGUCUUUGUUUGAACCUGAGUUUUACUAUUCUUAUCCUCUGAAUAUCACUUGGUGUCACCAUUAGAAAAUUUGCUAAGCCAUAUAGCCCAGGGUGGCAUAAUAUGAUUAAAUAUGUAGAUGCAGAACAGAUAAAUUCUGCCUGUUUGCAGUUAUCUAAUGAUCCAGGGAAUUCUGAGGAUAUGUAUGCAUUGUUUACAUUUGCUAAUAGUGAAUUAUGAUUCUUGGGUAGUUCAUUGGUUUGGCUGUCCUCUUUCCUUGUCUCUCAUUGAUUUAGAACCUGGGUUAAGUAACUGCUAUGAGCUGGGCACUGUUGGGUGUUAGCAGCAAAGGUCAGAUCUCAUGGCGCCUACCCUUGAAGACAUAGCUUAUGAUUUAGUAGAGGAAAUGGAGCCUUAUUAAUGCAUGUGUAGUAUGCAUUUUUAAAAGGCUGAGUAGGACUCCUCUAGCUGGAGUAAAAGGGGAAAGGAAGGUGAUCUGUUCAUGGUAGCACUAAAUGUGUUUUCUCCAUUCCAAGGCAUCAUUUGAAUAACUGAAGGUGACUCUUAGGUCCCUCUCCCAAUCUUCUCUAUUCCCUUACUGGUUUUUUUCUAUAGCAAGAUUCCAGACCCUAUACUAUGCUGCUCAUGCAGUAUUGAGAUUGUAAUAUUUCUUUUAUUUUUAAAAUUUAUUUAUUUUAAUUGAAGUAUAGUUGAUUUAUAAUGUUAUGUUAGUUUCAGGUGUACGGCACAGUGAUUGAGUUGUGUGUGUGAAAAAAAACUAUAUAUAUAUAUGUAUAUAUUCUUUUUCAGAAUCUUUUAUAGGUUAUUACAAAAUGUUGAAUAUAUUCCCCUUGCCGUAUACCAGGUCUUUGUUGAUUAUCUGUUUUAUAUAUAGUAGUAUGUAUAUGUUAAUCCCAACCUCUGAAUUUUUUCCUACUCUUCCUAACUCUUUGGUAACCAUAAGUUUGUGUGGGUCAAUUUCUGUUUUGUAAGUUCAUUUGUAUCUUUUUUUUUUUUUUUUUUAGAUUGCACAUAUAGGCAAUAUUGUAUGAUUUUGUCUUUGGCUUACUUCACUUAAUAUGAUAAUCUCUAGAUCCAUCCAUGUUGCUGCACAUGGGAGUAUUUCAUCCCUUUUUAUGGCUGAGUAAUAUUCCGUGUGUUUGUGUGUGUGUGUGUGUGUGUGUGUGUGUAUGUAAGUAACCUCACAUCUUUUUUUCAUCUGUCAGUGGACAUUUAGGUUGCUUCCAUGUCUUGGCUACUGUAAAUAGAGCUGCAGUGAACACUGGGCUGCAUAUAUCUUUUCUUUUUUUCUUUUCUUUUUGUCUUUUUGUCUUUGCUAUGGCCACACCCAUGGCAUAUGGAGGUUUCCAGGCUAAGGGUCUGAUCAGAGCUGUAGCCACCGGCCUAGCCAGAGCCACAGCAACAUCAGAUCUGAGCCUCGUCUGCAACCUACAACCACAGCUCAUGGCAGUACCAGAUCCUUAACACACUGAGCGAGGCCAGGGAUCGAACCCACAACCUCAUGGUUCCUAGUCAUAUUCGUUUCCACUGCGCCACAAUGGGAACUCCAUGUAUCUUUUCAGAUUAUAGUUUUCUCCAGAUAUAUGCCUAGGAGCGGGAUCGUAAGAUCACAUGGUAACUCCAUUUUUAGGUUUUUGAGGAACCUCCAUACUGUUCUCCACAGUGGCUGUACCAAUUUACUUUCCCACCAAUAGGUUCCUUGGUAGGAAGAGGGUUCCUUUUUCUCCAUACCCUUUCCAGCAUUUAUUAUUUGUAGACUUUUCGAUGAUGGCCAUUAUGACCAGAGAGGAGUGAUACCUCAUUAUAGUUUUGAUUUGCAUUUCUCUAAUAAUUAGUGAUGUUGAGCAUCUUUUCAUGUGCCUGUGGGCCAUUUGUAUGUCUUCUUUGGAGAAAUGUCUCUUUAGAUCUUCUUCCCAUUUUUUUUUUAAAUUGGGUUGUUUAUUUUUCUGAUACUGAGCUGUGUGAGCUGUUUAUAUAUUUCAAGUUAAUCCCUUCUCAGUUACAUUGUUUGCAAGUAUUUUCUCCCAUUCUGUAGGUUGUCAUCUCAUUUUAUUUCUGGUUUCUUUUGCUGUGCAAAGCCUUUUUUAAGUUUAAUUAGGUCCGAUUUGUUUGUUUUUGUUUUUAUUACAUUACUUUAGGAGACAGAUCCAAAAGUAUAUUGCUGAGAUUUGUUUCAAAGAGUGUUCUGCCUAUGUUUUCCUCUAGGAGUUUUAUAGUAUCCAGUCUUAAAUUUAGGUCUUAUAAUUUGAGUUUAUUUUUGUAUAUGGUGUUAGAGAAUGUUCUAAUUUCGUUCUUUUACAUGUAGUUGUCCAGUUUUCCCAGCACCACUUAUUAAAGAGACUGUCUUGGAGUUCCCUUCAUGUUUCAGUGGUUGACAAAUCCGACUAGGAACCAUGAAGUUGCAGGUUUGAUCCCUGGCCUUGCCCAGUGAGCUGUGGUGUAGGUCACAGACACAGCUUGGAUCUGGCGUUGCUGUGGCUGUGGCGUAGGCUGGCAGCAACAGAUCCAAUUAGACUCCUAGCCUGGCAACCUCCAUAUGCUGCAGGUGUGGCCCU